GGGAAUCUUGCGCAAUGGGCGAAAGCCUGACGCAGCGACGCCGCGUGAGUGAUGAAGGCCUUCGGGUUGUAAAGCUCUGUGGGGAGAGACGAAUAAGUAUUGGCUCAUAUCCAAUAUGAUGACGGUAUCUCCUUAGCAAGCACCGGCUAACUCUGUGCCAGCAGCCGCGGUAAGACAGAGGGUGCAAACGUUGUUCGGAAUUACUGGGCGUAAAGCGGGUGUAGGCGGCUACGUAAGUCGGAUGUGAAAGCCCCAGGCUCAACCUGGGAAGUGCACUCGAUACUGCAUAGCUUGAGUACUGGAGAGGUUGGUGGAAUUCUCGGUGUAGAGGUGAAAUUCGUAGAUAUCGAGAGGAACAUCGGUGGCGAAGGCGGCCAACUGGACAGAUACUGACGCUCAGGUGCGAAAGCGUGGGGAGCAAAC
rnacentral:rRNA from 1 species